UGUGGGAGCGAGCCUGCUCGCGAUAGCGUCGGUUCAGUUGAUACUUUGGUUAGCUGACACACCGUCAUCGCGAGCAGGCUCGCUCCCACA
rnacentral:misc_RNA from 1 species